rnacentral:rRNA from 1 species
UACGGGGGGAGCAAGCGUUGUUCGGAUUUACUGGGCGUAAAGGGCGGCGUAGGCGGUCGUGACAAGUCACUUGUGAAAUCUCCGGGCUUAACUCGGAACGGUCAAGUGAUACUGUCGGACUAGAGUACAGAAGGGGCAACUGGAAUUCUCGGUGUAGCGGUGAAAUGCGUAGAUAUCGAGAGGAACACCUGCGGCGAAGGCGGGUUGCUGGGCUGAUAACUGACGCUGAGGCGCGGAAAGCC